rnacentral:rRNA from 1 species
AAGAGUGGGGGAUAACGUAGCGAAAGUUACGCUAAUACCGCAUACGAUCUAAGGAUGAAAGCAGGGGAUCUUCGGACCUUGUGCUCCUGGAGCGGCCGAUAUCUGAUUAGCUAGUUGGUGAGGUAAAGGCUCACCAAGGCCACGAUCAGUAGCUGGUCUGAGAGGACGACCAGCCACACUGGAACUGAGACACGGUCCAGACUCCUACGGGAGGCAGCAGUGGGGAACUUUGGACAAUGGGCGAAAGCCUGAUCCAGCAAUGCCGCGUGAGUGAAGAAGGCCUUCGGGUUGUAAAGCUCUUUUGUCAGGGAAGAAACGGUUUGGGCUAAUACCCUGAGCUAAUGACGGUACCUGAAGAAUAAGCACCGGCUAACUACGUGCCAGCAGCCGCGGUAAUACGUAGGGUGCAAGCGUUAAUCGGAAUUACUGGGCGUAAAGCGUGCGCAGGCGGUUUUGUAAGUCUGACGUGAAAUCCCCGGGCUCAACCUGGGAAUUGCGUUGGAGACUGCAAGGCUAGAAUCUGGCAGAGGGGGGUAGAAUUCCACGUGUAGCAGUGAAAUGCGUAGAGAUGUGGAGGAACACCGAUGGCGA